rfam:Streptococcus parauberis NCFD 2020 Noncontiguous_Finished_Chromosome chromosome, whole genome shotgun sequence.
GAAACGGUUUUUCUCAGAACCAUAAACUACUUUAAAAGAAGAAUAG